rnacentral:rRNA from 1 species
CCGUUAACGAACGAGACCUCGACCUGCUAAAUAGUUCGGCCUAGCCUCGGCUAGGUACGCGACUUCUUAGAGGGACUGUCGGUUUGCAGCCGAAGGAAGUUCGAGGCAAUAACAGGUCUGUGAUGCCCUUAGAUGUUCUGGGCCGCACGCGCGCUACACUGAUCGGCUCAUCGAGCUUACAACCUUGAUCGAGAGGUCUGGGUAAUCUUUGAAAACCGAUCGUGCUGGGGAUAGAUUAUUGUAAUUAUUAAUCUUCAACGAGGAAUUCCUAGUAAACGCACGUCAUCAGCGUGCAUUGAUUACGUCCCUGCCCUUUGUACACACCGCCCGUCGCUAAUACCGAUUGAAUGGAUAA